AAGUCGUAACAAGGUUUCCGUAGGUGAACCUGCGGAAGGAUCAUUAAUGAAUAUCUAUGGCGUUGGUUGGAGCUGGCUUCUAGGAGCAUGUGCACACCCGUCAUUUUUAUCUUUCCACCUGUGCACUAAAUGUAGAUCUGGAUAACUCUCGCUCUCACGAGCGGAUGCAAGGACUGCUGUGUCGCAAGACCGGCUCUCCUUGAACUUCCAGGUCUAUGUAUCCCUUACACACCCCAAUUGAAUGAUGAAGAAUGUAGUCAAUGGGCUUCAAAGCCUAUAAAACAAAAUACAACUUUCAGC
rnacentral:misc_RNA from 1 species